GAUGAACGCUGGCGGCGCGCCUAACACAUGCAAGUCGAGCGAACCUUUCGGGGUGAGCGGCGGACGGGUGAGUAACGCGUGGGUAACCUGCCCUAUACAAACGGAUAACGUACCGAACGGUACGCGAAUACGGGAUAAAGUUGAUGGAUGGCAUUAUCUCACAACCAAAGCUCUGGCGGGCUAGGAUGGACCCACGUCUGAUUAGCUAGUUGGUGAGGUAAUGGCUCACCAAGGCGACGUUCAGUAGCGGCCCUGAGAGGGUGAUCGGACACACUGGAACUGGGACACAGUACAGACUCCUACGGGAGGCAGCAGUGGGGAAUAUUGCACAAUGGGCGAAAGCCUGAUGCAGCAACGCCGCGUGAGCGAUGAAGUUCUUCGGAUCCUAAAGCUCUGGCCUCAAGGAAGAUAAUGACGGUACUUGAGGAGGAAGCCCCGGCUAACUACGUGCCAGCCGCCGCAGUAA
rnacentral:rRNA from 1 species